AUACAUGCCACUAUGCCCUGACCCGCAAGGGAACGGGUGGAUUUAUUAGAACAGAACCAACCGGUUGUGGUUUCGGCCGCGGCUGUUGCAUUCUGUGAUGACUCUGGAUAACUUCACUGAUCGCAGUCGGCCUUGUGUCGGCGACGGAUCUUUCAAAUGUCUGCCUUAUCAAUUUUCGAUGGUAGGUGAUCUGCCUACCAUGGUGAUAACGGGUAACGGGGAAUCAGGGUUCGAUUCCGGAGAGGGAGCCUGAGAAACGGCUACCACUUCCAAGGAAGGCAGCAGGCGCGCAAAUUACCCAAUCCCGGCACGGGGAGGUAGUGACGAAAAAUACGGAUACGGGACUCGUAUGAGGCUCCGUAAUUCGAAUGAGUACAAUUUAAAUCCUUUAACGAGGAUCAACUGGAGGGCAAGUCUGGUGCCAGCAGCCGCGGUAACUCCAGCUCCAGAAGCGUAUAUUAAAGUUGUUGCAGUUAAAAAGCUCGUAGUUGGAUCUGGGUCGUAUGGCUAUGUACUGUUGCUUGUUACAUUGGCUUGGUUUCGAUCAGGUCCAGUGUUGCGAGUCGGUGUCGUGGCUGUACAGCCUUUCUGCCGUAUCUGUUUUGGACAGGUGCCGGCCUAAUUGGUGAGCUUGUCUUGCUGGUUGGCUGGCAUGCUCCCAGAUGCCUUUGAACGGGUGUCGGGUGCGUAUGGUUCUUUUACUUUGAACAAAUUUGAGUGCUCAAAGCAGGCUUUUGCCUGAAAAUUCUUGCAUGGAAUAAUGGAAUAGGACUUCGGUUCUAUUUUGUUGGUUUUCGGAUCCGAAGUAAUGGUUAAGAGGGACAGACGGGGGCAUUUGUAUGGCGGUGUUAGAGGUGAAAUUCUUGGAUCACCGCCAGACAAACUACAGCGAAAGCAUUUGCCAAGGAUGUUUUCAUUGAUCUGGAGCGAAAGUCAGAGGUUCGAAGACGAUCAGAUACCGUCCUAGUUCUGACCAUAAACGAUGCCAACUGACGAUYCGUGGCGGCACAAUUAAUGGCUCCACGGGCAGUCCCCGGGAAACCUUUAAGUCUUGG
rnacentral:rRNA from 1 species